AGGAGCAACAGCCCUAGUGGCGGGGCCAGCUCUGGAAACCUGGAUUCAGCCCCCGCUGGAACUCCGGAGCUCUCCGUCUGCAGGGCCUGGAGGCUCCGGGGCGGG
rnacentral:pre_miRNA from 1 species